CAUUAUUAUAGUGAGUCAGUGUUGUUUUGUGAAGUUUUUAAUUAAUUAUUUAGUGUAGAAGUGAAUAGAAGGUACGAUGUGCGCAUGUAUGACCAGGUGUUGCGCAUGUCAAUAAAUCCGUUGCUGCAAUUGAGUAUUACUACGCGAAUUUUCUAGAAAAUUUUUCGACGUUGAGGAUCGAUAUUUACUAUCUAAUCGACAUAAACAUAAACAUAUAAUACUAACGGGUAUGUAACUGGUACACAUUUAAUAAAAAUAAACAAAAGCACCUCGAAUGACGGCAGAUUAUCACAACCAGAGAAAUCUUCGCUAAUUUUCAGACUUACGCAAGCCAAGGAAGAAAUAAUUCUAGUUCCACCAGAUGCAGCAAUUAUCAUUUUUACAUUUCCAUUGGUAUCUACUAAAAUUGAAGGUGCCAUUGAUGACAAUGGUCUCUUACCAAGCUGGAUUGAAUUUUGUUCGCUAUUUCCUGACAGCUGCCGAAACUAAAAUUCAAAGCCAGUUUAUGAAUAAAAAAAAAAGGCUUGAUAAUAAAAACAGCUGACAUGUUAUUAUGUUAAUUUUACGGGGUAUUGAUGGUACUCGUAAGUGAUACUGCAUCUCCAGUUGGAGAUAAAACUACUAGAUGAGAAGUACCGUGAUCUUCAUGAAACCAAGUACUGCCUUCGUAGUGGGCAGCAUCGUUCCACGUUCUUGAGUCAUCUAUUCGAGCUUUUAUUGCUCGAGCAUAAUCUCUCGAAGUUAAAUUUUUUGUAAUCUGUUAGCAGACAAAGUUGAUGCAUUACCUCAGUCAUAUCAUGAAAUUCAGAAUCACCUAAUUUACUUCUCACAGCAAAAGCAUAUUUAAAAGUCUCAAUCAUUC